GACGAACGCUGGCGGCGUGCUUAACACAUGCAAGUCGAGCGGUAAGGCCCUUUCGGGGGUACACGAGCGGCGAACGGGUGAGUAACACGUGGGUGACCUGCCUUCAGCUCUGGGAUAAGCCUGGGGAAACUGGGUCUAAUACCGGAUAUGACUCCAUGAUGCAUGUUGUGGGGUGGAAAGCUUUUGCGGCUGGAGAUGGGCCCGCGGCCUAUCAGCUUGUUGGUGGGGUGAGGCCUACCAAGGCGACGACGGGUAGCCGGCCUGAGAGGCGACCGGCCACACUGGGACUGAGACACGGCCCAGACUCCUACGGGAGGCAGCAGUGGGGAAUCUUGCGCAAUGGGCGAAAGCCUGACGCAGCGACGCCGCGUGA
rnacentral:rRNA from 1 species